CUAAUCUUAGUUGGUCUUAACGAAAUAUCAAUUUAAACAUCUUACAAAGGGAUAAUUUCGUACCAAAAAUUAACAGAAGUAAAUCUAAUUGCGAUUAGGAUAAAAGGAAAUAAAGGAAUAAAUGAAAAGAAAUGUUUAUCGAGACUCAAACAGUAUUUGAUCUGCCGUCCGCUAUCCGACAGUCCAUAAUCGUUUGUACUAAACCCAGCAGCGUUUUUAACCAACGAUUACUUCACAGUAACCAGAAUCACGGUCGAGAUGCGUGCUGUGAAGCAAUUCAUGAGAUCGCACAACAAAUAUAAACUGAUGGCGAAGUUUGAAUAAUAAAUUUAGACGACGCUAAAUAUACGGAACAACGGACACGACAAAUAUUCUACACGAGAACGGGUUAUAUUAAAUAAUACUAGAAUCACUGUAUAUUUCCUUUGUUAUUCAAUGAGUAUUCCAUUUUCUAAUGACAUAAACACCAGGGGCGUAUCAACCGUAUCCAAGAUACGUGGCCCCCUAGCAACAAGACUCGGAACACUUGUGGAAGAAUUUCUGUAUCGAAAAUUUUCGGGGAAAUAAUAAAAUGCUGAACUAA